rnacentral:rRNA from 1 species
GACCUGAGCUCAGGCAAGAUUACCCGCUGAACUUAAGCAUAUCAAUAAGCGGAGGAAAAGAAACUAACAAGGAUUCCCCUAGUAACGGCGAGCGAACCGGGAAUAGCCCAACUUGAAAAUCUCCCUCUGGAGAAUUGUAGUCUAGAGAAGCGCCCUCUGCGGCGGAUGGAGCCCAAGUUUGCUGGAAAGCAACGUCAGAGAGGGUGAGAACCCCGUCGGCUCCUAUCUUGCUGCCCCACGAGGUGCUUCCACGAGUCGGGUUGUUUGGGAAUGCAGCCAAAUUGGAGGUAAAUCCUUUCUAAGGCUAAAUACUGGCAGA